AAAUUGAAGAGUUUGAUCAUGGCUCAGAUUGAACGCUGGCAGCAGGCCUAACACAUGCAAGUCGAACGGUAACAGGAAGCAGCUUGCUGCUUCGCUGACGAGUGGCGGACGGGUGAGUAAUGUCUGGGAAACUGCCUGAUGGAGGGGGAUAACUACUGGAAACGGUAGCUAAUACCGCAUAAUGUCGCAAGACCAAAGAGGGGGACCUUCGGGCCUCUUGCCAUCGGAUGUGCCCAG
rnacentral:rRNA from 1 species